rnacentral:rRNA from 1 species
GACGAACGCUGGCGGCGUGCUUAACACAUGCAAGUCGAACGGAAAGGCCCUGCUUUUGUGGUGUGCUCGAGUGGCGAACGGGUGAGUAACACGUGAGUAACCUGCCCUUGACUUUGGGAUAACUUCAGGAAACUGGGGCUAAUACCGGAUAGGAGCUCCUGCUGCAUGGUAGGGGUUGGAAAGUUUCGGCGGUUGGGGAUGGACUCGCGGCUUAUCAGCUUGUUGGUGGGGUAGUGGCUUACCAAGGCUUUGACGCGUAGCCGGCCUGAGAGGGUGACCGGCCACAUUGGGACUGAGAUACGGCCCAGACUCCUACGGGAGGCAGCAGUGGGGAAUAUUGCACAAUGGGCGGAAGCCUGAUGCAGCAACGCCGCGUGCGGGAUGACGGCCUUCGGGUUGUAAACCGCUUUCGCCUGUGACGAAGCGGGAGUGACGGUAAUGGGUAAAGAAGCACCGGCUAACUACGUG